rnacentral:rRNA from 1 species
AUGAACGCUGGCGGCGUGCCUAAUACAUGCAAGUCGAGCGAACAGACGAGGAGCUUGCUCCUCUGACGUUAGCGGCGGACGGGUGAGUAACACGUGGAUAACCUACCUAUAAGACUGGGAUAACUUCGGGAAACCGGAGCUAAUACCGGAUAAUAUAUUGAACCGCAUGGUUCAAUAGUGAAAGACGGUUUUGCUGUCACUUAUAGAUGGAUCCGCGCCGCAUUAGCUAGUUGGUAAGGUAACGGCUUACCAAGGCAACGAUGCGUAGCCAACCUGAGAGGGUGAUCGGCCACACUGGAACUGAGACACGGUCCAGACUCCUACGGGAGGCAGCAGUAGGGAAUCUUCCGCAAUGGGCGAAAGCCUGACGGAGCAACGCCGCGUGAGUGAUGAAGGUCUUCGGAUCGUAAAACUCUGUUAUUAGGGAAGAACAAAUGUGUAAGUAACUAUGCACGUCUUGACGGUACCUAAUCAGAAAGCCACGGCUAACUACGUG